UAGAGUUUGAUCAUGGCUCAGAUUGAACGCUGGCGGCAUGCUUUACACAUGCAAGUCGAACGGCAGCGCGGGCUUCGGCCUGGCGGCGAGUGGCGAACGGGUGAGUAAUGCAUCGGAACGUACCCAGUCGUGGGGGAUAACACAUCGAAAGAUGUGCUAAUACCGCAUACGUCCUGAGGGAGAAAGCGGGGGACCUUCGGGCCUCGCGCGAUUGGAGCGGCCGAUGUCAGAUUAGCUAGUAGGUGGGGUAAAGGCCCACCUAGGCGACGAUCUGUAGCGGGUCUGAGAGGAUGAUCCGCCACACUGGGACUGAGACACGGCCCAGACUCCUACGGGAGGCAGCAGUGGGGAAUUUUGGACAAUGGGGGCAACCCUGAUCCAGCCAUGCCGCGUGAGUGAAGAAGGCCUUCGGGUUGUAAAGCUCUUUCGGCCGGGAAGAAAUCGCGCUCUUUAAUAGAGGGUGUGGAUGACGGUACCGGACUAAGAAGCACCGGCUAACUACGUGCCAGCAGCCGCGGUAAU
rnacentral:rRNA from 1 species